rnacentral:rRNA from 1 species
UACGUAGGGUGCAAGCGUUAAUCGGAAUACUGGGCGUAAAGCGUGCGCAGGCGGUGAUGUAAGACAGAUGUGAAAUCCCCGGCUCAACCUGGAACUGCAUUUGUGACUGCAUCGCUGGAGUGCGGCAGAGGGGGAUGGAAUUCCGCGUGUAGCAGUGAAAUGCGUAGAUAUGCGGAGGAACACCGAUGGCGAAGGCAAUCCCCUGGGCCUGCACUGACGCUCAUGCACGAAAGCGUGGGGAGCAAACAGG